UACGUAGGGUGCAAGCGUUGUCCGGAAUUAUUGGGCGUAAAGGGCUCGUAGGCGGUUUGUCGCGUCGGGAGUGAAAACCAUGGGCUUAACUCAUGGCUUGCUUCCGAUACGGGCAGACUAGAGGUAUGCAGGGGAGAACGGAAUUCCUGGUGUAGCGGUGAAAUGCGCAGAUAUCAGGAGGAACACCGGUGGCGAAGGCGGGUU
rnacentral:rRNA from 1 species